GGUAGUUACAUUUCUAAUAGUUGUGUUGUUGUUUUGCGUGUUGUUGUUUUUUUUAUCUGUUUACAAUUUUUUUUAAAGUCAUUUUGUAAUUAAGGUCUUCCGUAGCAACGGAAGACCUUCUACUUAUUGUGCUGGUUAAGAUUAUUCUUAUUAUUCUUUUUUUUUUUUCCUAGACGCUAACUUUGAAGCUUCAUAUCUCGCUCAUUCCUCAACCGAUUUUGCUCAAAUUUUCAGCUUUAAUACAUUUUACUAAAGACUUUCAAAAUACUUUUAAACAUUUUGGAUAUUUUCUUCCGUUUGCGAGUUAUUUCCCUUUUAGUGAAAUUUUAGGGGCUUUGGUUUCCAGAUAAAGGCUCCGAGACUAUAAUAAUUGGAGCAGAGAAAACACUGAAUUGGUAAAGUAGAAGCAUUGUAGUUGUGCACAUCAUAUUUUGUUUUUUGAUUUCGCCAUUUAAAAUGGCGAUAGAGAGGGGUCAAAAAUUAGGACGCCUGAAAGAGCGAAAAUUUGCACAUAAUUUCCUUUGUAUCUUUUAAACUAAAAAUAUUUUGUUAAGACAUGUAAAAUAAAAGUUGUGUAGAAUUUCAAGAGCUUUUAUUUGACACCAGUAAAAGGGGGCUGGCCCCUUAAAUUAGGGAUCUACGGCCCCUAAAAGUUUUCGCUUUAUAGCUCAAAAACGGCAAAGAAUUCGAUAUGGUUUCCGAUAGAAAAGUUGUUCUUUAACAUCUUAUUUAUCUCAUGAAAUUGUUAUUUUGUUCGAAUCUUGUGUUAUAUUAGAGUAAAAAGCUAUACCCGUAAACAAGUAGCCAUUUUCAUUUGGCAAGUGAGCGAGAACUCUUCAUGCGUAUAACUGAAAUAAACUUGCUAAAAAUAACAUACCUGACUACAAUAGAUACUAAUAUUCAUUUUAAAUAAGGUUUUUAACAUGCUCUGUGGUUCAAAUACAAAUUAUUUAAUGAUACAUUUCUCUUUUUCUUUCGUUUUAACAUAAACAAACCUUCAACAACAACAAAAGGAGAGAGAUAAAUUAUCUUUUAUUUGUUUCAUAUUAGAAUUAAAAUAAGUAAUAUACAUAAAAAUAAAACGUUCAAACGUAAAAUAAAUCAUGGUCAAUAACUGCAAGCUGUUUACAUUCUUCACGGUCAGCGUUGUUUAUACAGUUAUGUAACCCAACUCUCGCCUCGCUCGCAGGUGGCCAGAGUGACAAGCUUGCAUAAUCAAAACAAAAACAUCGAAGCUAACUCGGCUUUCGUCCAUCGCAUAAAUAAACACAUCAAUUACUGGAAAAUUAUGUUUGAAAUCAUUUUGAAUCCUUUUACAUUAUAUCAUACUUAAUUAACAAUUAUAUUAUGUUUUAUUUCAAUUAUAAAGUAAUUGUAAAGAUGCUACCGCAAACAUUUCGAGUUAGUGAUCAAUGGACCUCAUAAUAUUUGUGUCAAGUUAUACAUACAUUUAAAAAAAAACUACACCAUUUUCCUGAUUAUUUAUCGGGUUGUCAUUUUCCUCACAAUAAGUUUACGGUAAGGGUAUGUGACGUUUCUAAUUGUCAGAAAAAAUCAUACUAAAUAAAAUGAAGUAGUCUUAAGUUUUAUUAACUUAUAAUUGUCUGCAUACAGAAGGAUUUAUUUGUCGGUUCAUUUCAUUUCAUCUAAAUACAAUCAUGCGUGCAAGUAAAUGCGGUUUUUAUAAGUGAAAUGAAAAAGGCAAGAGCGCCCCAAAUAUAUAUAUACAUCUCAAGCGUCUUAUUGUGUUUAAUUUUGGAGAUUCAUCACAUGUGGACAAGCAAUCUGUGAUUUAACUCUACUUUAGCCAGUUGAUACACAAGCUUUCUGCAUUCUUUACAAAGUGAAAAAAAUGGAUCCUUUUUGUAAGCAUAACAAAUAAUUUAUAAACUUUAUUUUUUAAAUCACGGGUUCUUAUCAUGAUUAUACCAACUCUAAACAUGUAUAGAAAAUCAUCAGAAAUCCACAUCGAAUCAGUCUCAUUUCAUUCAGUCAUUAACUGCAAGCAUUUUACAUACACACCGGGGUUUGUUCUUGUUUACAAUUACGUAACCCAUGGCUCGAUUGCCCGAGUUCGGAGCCAUCGCAUGUGUACCAGCGAUCAGCGGCAAUACAUGUACACACGACAUAUGGUCAAGUUCGAGGUUUUUAUGUCACACAGCUCCGACGGAAGACCUCUCGUUGCUUUGCAACGAGGUUUGCUCUAGUUGAAUGUCUUAUUGUGCAUAUUUUCAAGAUUAUGUGUAUCCUUAAAACAGUUUGGCUUUAAAUUAUUUCAGGACAUCAGCAUUGGAUUAUUAUGCAAUUUUGCAAAUGUGAGAUGGAGUCUGUCGCUUUGGUCAGGUACAGACUUUGGCCAUCUUCCUCUGAAUCCCCCCGUGUUGCAUUUGAUUUUAAAUUGAUGGAAUUGGCUGUGGUACUUCAGCUUGAAGGUCAUUUAUCUUUGAAAUCUUUCUGUGAUGCCAUUAUUCAAUCUCAAAAUGGAUUCCCUGUGAUGGUGCGACCAGAUGAGGCCUGGGGUAAUGGUAAUGUAAUGAGAGCCUAUCUCAGUGUAGUGGACCAUUUUUGCAUUAUACAUGACCACACCUAGCUGGAAGCAACGACGCCACCAUUCUAAGCCAGAUACUUCAUGCUAAUGCAGAGGAUCUGAAGAGCUGGUUCCAUGAAGAUUUUUGUUUUUGUAGACUGGGGAUUUCGGGAUUUACUUGAUAUUCUUUUCGAGUUGGGAAUAAGAGCUGAAAUGACAUGUCUUCUAAAUAUUGAAUAUAUAUAAGAUUAAUUAUAUAAACAAGUUAGAUUUAAUAUCAAAAAUUUAAUAUUAUAUAUUGAUACCUUUGAACUACGCUUAAGGGGAAGUUCGUUGAUGUUCGGAUGAAGUCGUUAAAGAGCCCGAUGUGGUUGUAUCUAUAGUCACCACGCAUUCAACAACCAAAAUGGCGAGAGGAGGUUUUUCAUCCCCGAAAACUUCUCCUUUGGCUUUAGUUCAGUCCAGAACUAUGAAAAGAGAAGGGUGGGCAACCCUGACAGGGUGCAGGACGAUUGAUGAGUGCUUGAAUAUGUAUGUUCCAUGUAGUCCAGCCCAUCUGGAUCUACUGUGCAAGUUUCGUGGCCAGAUCCACUUGGUCUUUAUAUGCAACAGUUUUUAAAGGAAUAUUUUACUUUGAAACAUAAAACUUUAAUAUCGCGUUCUGAUUUUUAUAAACUAUAGCAAGUCAAUUUUUAUCAGAAUUCUGUAUUUCUAAGUAGUAUGAACGUAUAAUAUCCAGUAUUAAACAGGAAGAAUUUAAGGAAAUCUACAGACUUUUGGAUAUUAACGGAAACUCCGAUCUCAUACAAAAUUUUGAGGAUGCCUUGUUGAAGUCGAAUGGUAAAGAUGACAAUGAAGAUAAUGGACGGAUUUUUCCUACAUACAAAUUGUAUUUU